rnacentral:rRNA from 1 species
GGAAAAGAAACUAACAAGGAUUCCCCUAGUAACGGCGAGUGAAGCGGGAAGAGCUCAAAUUUAAAAUCUGGCAGGCUACGCUUGUCCGAAUUGUAAUCUCGAGAAGUGUUUUCCGCGUUGGCCUGUGUACAAGUCCCUUGGAACAGGGCGUCAUAGAGGGUGAGAAUCCCGUCCUUGACACAGACACCCAAUGCUUUGUGAUACACUCUCAAUGAGUCGAGUUGUUUGGGAAUGCAGCUCAAAAUGGGUGGUAAAUUCCAUCUAAAGCUAAAUACUGGCGAGAGACCGAUAGCGAACAAGUACCGUGAGGGAAAGAUGAAAAGCACUUUGGAAAGAGAGUCAAACAGUACGUGAAAUUGUUGAAAGGGAAACGAUUGAAGUCAGUCGUGCCUGCCUAGUCUCAGCCUUUUGGUGUACUACUAGGUCGGCAGGUCAGCAUCAGUUUGGGAGGAUUAACAAGGGAGUUAGGAAUGUGGCAACCUCGGUUGUGUUAUAGCCUAGCUUCGCAUUGAUCUUGCUGGACUGAGGAACGCAGUGCGCCCGCAAGGGUUGGUCUUCGGACACAUUCGCACUUAGGAUGCUGGCAUAAUGGCUUUAAACGAC